rnacentral:rRNA from 1 species
UACAGAGGUCCCAAGCGUUGUUCGGAUUCACUGGGCGUAAAGGGUGCGUAGGUGGUUGGGUAAGUCUGAUGUGAAAUCUCCGAGCUUAACUCGGAAAUGGCAUUGGAUACUAUUCGGCUAGAGGGUUUGAGGGGACUGGAAUACUUGGUGUAGCAGUGAAAUGCGUAGAUAUCAAGUGGAACACCAGUGGCGAAGGCGAGUCCUGAAACUCCUGACACUGAGGCCACGAAGCUAGGGAGCAACAGGAGUUAAGAAACCC